UCUGGGCUCACAUUCAUUGAUCAGCCCUGAAUAUAGAACAUGGGACUGAGCUGGGUUUUCCUUGUUCUUCUUUUAAAAGGUGUCCAGUGUGAGGUGCAGCUGGUGGAGUCUGGCGGAGGCUUGGUGCAGCCAGGAAGUUCCCUAAAACUCUCCUGUGCAGCCUCUGGAUUCAAGUUCAGUGAUUACUGGAUGGACUGGUUCCGCCAGGCCCCAGGGAAGGGGCUAGAGUGGGUUGCUCUAAUUAAACACAAACCUGAUAAUUAUGGAACAGAAUAUGCUGAGUCUGUGAAAGGCAGAUUCAUCAUCUCAAGAGACGAUUCCACAAGCAGCCUCUACCUGCAGAUGAACAGCUUAAGAGCCGAGGACACCGCCAUUUAUUACUGUGUUAGAGACACAGUGAGGCACCUUCAGUGUGAACCCAGACAAAAACCUUCUUGCAGGAACACUCAGGACCGGUAG